GAUGAAGAACGUAGCGAAAUGCGAUACUUGGUGUGAAUUGCAGAAUCCCGUGAACCAUCGAGUCUUUGAACGCAAGUUGCGCCCGAAGCCAUUAGGCCGAGGGCACGCCUGCCUGGGCGCCACACGUCGUUGCCCCCCCCAUCUACUCCUUCGGGAUUGCGGGGGGCGGAUGAUGGCCUCCCGUGCGCCUCGCCGCGCGGUUGGCAUAAAUGCCAAGUCCUCGGCGACGCACGCCACGACAAUCGGUGGUUGCGAAACCUCGGUUGCCCGUCGUGUGCGGUCGUCGCGCAUCGAGGGCUCGAAAAAAUUGCCGAGUUCCGGCUCGGCUUUCAACGCGACCCCAGGUCAGGCGGGGUUACCCGCUGAAUUUAAGCAUAUCAAUAAGCGGAGGA
rnacentral:misc_RNA from 1 species